ACAAGGAAAAAGUUGGGAGGCCUCUGAAAUGAGGCAGCUUGUCCUCCUGAUGCAGGAGGACGGGCUGAAAACUCAAGAGUCACCAGGCUCUGGGGGCUGGCGACACCCUGCUUCUAGACCCAGGCACUGCCCGCAGGUUGGGGCUCCCACAGUCAGAACAAGAGGGAGUGCCGGGAGGCCCAGUCUCAAGGCCAAGUCUGGAAGAGGCGAUCUUAAAGGAUGACUUCCGACAAAGUGAGGAUAGAAAUCAAGAAAGAAAGCAACCCCGGACCCGGCAAGCAGGGGUCCAGUGUUGGAAGUAAGAAAUCAAUAGAUACAAUCCAAAAUAGAAAAAUCACGAAUUUGUAGUAUCUGCACAUCAGGUAGAAGAGAGACACCCAGGAGCAGAAGAAAACGACCAACGGAGAUGUCACAAGGGCCCUUCAGCAGCUUCCGGCAGAUUCUCCAAAGAUUCACUGGCUGGAAGCAGUGACCCUAAAUCAGAAAAGCAACUCCUGGGGGGCGCAGCUCCGGACACGACCCUGGGGAGGACUUGAAGCAUUCUCUCUCUUCCUUCCUUGGACACACCUACUCGGAGGCUCCUGGCCCCGGGAGGCCCCCAGCGGAGCUGGAGGAGGGCCCAGCACCAGGGGUGGGUGAGAUGCCAGCACCCCCUUGGAGAUCAGAACUGCUAGUCGGGUCAGCUGACCCCAUCUCUGGCCACCUGAGUGACCCUCCUGGGGGACUGGACCUGGAGCUUGGGCUCCUCGGGUGCCAGCGUCACUGCUCUGGUCUCCCCAGUCUGCCCAGAGCCCCCUAAAGCCCACCGUGUGCUCAGCCAUGGGACUCCUCAUCCGAAGCCUCCGAGCCCUCCUUUUCCCAUCCCUCCACCACCCGGCCCGCUGGUACCAGAGCUGCCCUGCAGGACAAGCCUCAGCCUGGGCCACAGGCAAGGCCGCUUGACUCAGCAGUCCCUGCUGUGCCCACAGCCGGCGGGGAGGUUGCAGGUGCCUCCCCUCCCUGCCCAGGCAUCAAGUCACAGGGCUUGAAUACUUCCCAGGACAGGGAGCUCAUCAGCCCCAGGCAGCAGCCUGCCCCAGGCAGAAACGCUUCGACUUCCGAGACAAGUCCUUUGUGAUGAACUGACACCUGAACACCGGUUAAUUCCAUCUGUUUACACAUUUUCGUCAUCCGCAUCAUUAUUAAUACUGUCUACAUACCAGCACACUGCAGUAUGUCAGCGAAUCCUUCACCACUUGUGGAGCUGGGGCCUGUCUCUCCAUCAUGUACUGGUAGAUGGGAAACCUGAGGUCCAGAGGAAGUGUGUCACCUAAGUGUGUGACACGGCCAGGAAGUCACAGAACGUGGGCUCAGAUCCAGAGCCCAGGCCCUUGCCAGCCAGGGGUGUGCCCAUCCAGGUUCCACCAUCUGCUUAGCUCCCCUCUCCAGCGUGUUCUUACUUCUCUGCCAGGGGCCACUACCCCACAAAGCUCACACCUUCUCCCCCAGACCCUGCAGAUGGAUCAACUACUCCUCCAGGAAGUCCUCCUGAGACAGCCAAAGGGUAUGGAAGGAACCCUCUUCCCAAGGUUGUGAUGGCGGCUGCCGGCGUGGAGCCAGCCCGACUGCCUGGAGUGAGGACUCCUUCUCCCCCACACCUGCUGAGCACCAGCCCUCUGAUCCUUCUCUUCAGGGGACCCCAGACUUCAUCUUUGCAGUAAUUGCAUACCAGGGGUAGCCAAGUCAGAAAGAUCCAGGUCCUCACUGCAGAGGCCUGCCAGACACCGCUUUGGCAGAAUGAAAAAUAAAACCCAAGGCCUAGACUGAUCUUCCAGAAUCUUCUGGUCCAUUCCCAGCCUCCAAGCACUGGAUGUUGGAUUGGCGGGGUAGAGGGAUCAGACAGUUUCCUCCUCCUCCCUUCCUGUGACACCAGCUUCUUGUUCUUCCCUCCAGAAAGGUGGCAAAAGUUAGUUACAUGUAUUCUUCAGCUGAUGCUAGGAAUAAACAC
ensembl:lncRNA